AGUGAACGCUGGCGGUAGGCCUAACACAUGCAAGUCGAACGGCAGCACAGUAAGAGCUUGCUCUUACGGGUGGCGAGUGGCGGACGGGUGAGGAAUACAUCGGAAUCUACUUUUUCGUGGGGGAUAACGUAGGGAAACUUACGCUAAUACCGCAUACGACCUAUGGGUGAAAGCAGGGGAUCUUCGGACCUUGCGCGAUUGAAUGAGCCGAUGUCGGAUUAGCUAGUUGGCGGGGUAAAGGCCCACCAAGGCGACGAUCCGUAGCUGGUCUGAGAGGAUGAUUAGCCACACUGGAACUGAGACACGGUCCAGACUCCUACGGGAGGCAGCAGUGGGGAAUAUUGGACAAUGGGCGCAAGCCUGAUCCAGCCAUACCGCGUGGGUGAAGAAGGCCUUCGGGUUGUAAAGCCCUUUUGUUGGGAAAGAAAAGCAGCAGGUUAAUACCCCGCUGUUCUGACGGUACCCAAAGAAUAAGCACCGGCUAACUUCGUG
rnacentral:rRNA from 1 species